rnacentral:rRNA from 1 species
UGGGGAAUAUUGCACAAUGGGCGCAAGCCUGAUGCAGCCAUGCCGCGUGUAUGAAGAAGGCCUUCGGGUUGUAAAGUACUUUCAGCGGGGAGGAAGGUGUUGUGGUUAAUAACCACAGCAAUUGACGUUACCCGCAGAAGAAGCACCGGCUAACUCCGUGCCAGCAGCCGCGGUAAUACGGAGGGUGCAAGCGUUAAUCGGAAUUACUGGGCGUAAAGCGCACGCAGGCGGUGUGUCAAGUCGGAUGUGAAAUCCCCGGGCUCAACCUGGGAACUGCAUCCGAAACUGGCAGGCUUGAGUCUUGUAGAGGGGGGUAGAAUUCCAGGUGUAGCGGUGAAAUGCGUAGAGAUCUGGAGGAAUACCGGUGGCGAAGGCGGCCCCCUGGACAAAGACUGACGCUCAGGUGCGAAAGCGUGGGGAGCAAACA